rnacentral:rRNA from 1 species
GACGAACGCUGGCGGCGUGCCUAAUACAUGCAAGUCGAGCGAGCUGAACCAACAGAUUCACUUCGGUGAUGACGUUGGGAACGCGAGCGGCGGAUGGGUGAGUAACACGUGGGGAACCUGCCCCAUAGUCUGGGAUACCACUUGGAAACAGGUGCUAAUACCGGAUAAGAAAGCAGAUCGCAUGAUCAGCUUAUAAAAGGCGGCGUAAGCUGUCGCUAUGGGAUUGGCCCCGCGGUGCAUUAGCUAGUUGGUAGGGUAACGGCCUACCAAGGCAAUGAUGCAUAGCCGAGUUGAGAGACUGAUCGGCCACAUUGGGACUGAGACACGGCCCAAACUCCUACGGGAGGCAGCAGUAGGGAAUCUUCCACAAUGGACGAAAGUCUGAUGGAGCAACGCCGCGUGAGUGAAGAAGGUUUUCGGAUCGUAAAGCUCUGUUGUUGGUGAAGAAGGAUAGAGGUAGUAACUGGCCUUUAUUUGACGGUAAUCAACCAAGAAAGUCACGGCUAACUACGUGCCAGCAGCCGCGGUAAUACGUAGGUGGCAAGCGUUGUCCGGAUUUAUUGGGCGUAAAGCGAGCGCAGGCGGAAGAAUAAGUCUGAUGUGAAAGCCCUCGGCUUAACCGAGGAACUGCAUCGGAAACUGUUUUUCUUGAGUGCAGAAGAGGAGAGUGGAACUCCAUGUGUAGCGGUGGAAUGCGUAGAUAUAUGGAAGAACACCAGUGGCGAAGGCGGCUCUCUGGUCUGCAACUGACGCUGAGGCUCGAAAGCAUGGGUAGCGAACAGGAUUAGAUACCCUGGUAGUCCAUGCCGUAAACGAUGGAUACUAGGUGUAGGAUGUGAUAAACAUUCUGUGCCGUCGCAAACGCAGUAAGUAUCCCACCUGGGGAGUACGGCCGCAAGGUUGAAACUCAAAGGAAUUGACGGGGGCCCGCACAAGCAGUGGAGUAUGUGGUUUAAUUCGACGCAACGCGAAGAACCUUACCAGGGCUUGACAUAUACAGGAAUAUAUUAGAGAUAGUAUAGUCUUCGGAGUCUGUAUACAGGUGGUGCAUGGUUGUCGUCAGCUCGUGUCGUGAGAUGUUGGGUUAAGUCCCGCAACGAGCGCAACCCUUGUCAUUAGUUGCCAGCAUUAAGUUGGGCACUCUAAUGAGACUGGCGGUGACAAACCGGAGGAAGGUGGGGAUGACGUCAAGUCAUCAUGCCCCUUAUGACCUGGGCUACACACGUGCUACAAUGGGCAGGUACCAAACCGAGGAACAAAGCCUGCGAAGGCCAAGCGAAUCUCUUAAAGCUGUUCUCAGUUCGGACUGCAGUCUGCAACUCGACUGCACGAAGCUGGAAUCGCUAGUAAUCGCGGAUCAGCACGCCGCGGUGAAUACGUUCCCGGGCCUUGUACACACCGCCCGUCACACCAUGGGAGUCUGCAAUGCCCAAAGCCGGUGGCCUAACCUUCGGGAAGGAGCCGUCUAAGGCAGGGCAGAUGACUGGGGUGAAGUCGUAACAAGGUAACCGUAAUCACUAGUGAAUUCGCGGCCGCCUGCAGGUCGACCAUAUGGGA